AGAGUUUGAUCCUGGCUCAGAACGAACGCUGGCGGCAGGCUUAACACAUGCAAGUCGAACGCACCGCAAGGUGAGUGGCAGACGGGUGAGUAACGCGUGGGAACGUGCCCUUCAGUUCGGAAUAACCCAGGGAAACUUGGGCUAAUACCGGAUACGUGCGAGAGCAGAAAGAUUUAUCGCUGAAGGAUCGGCCCGCGUCUGAUUAGCUAGUUGGUGGGGUAAUGGCCUACCAAGGCGACGAUCAGUAGCUGGUCUGAGAGGAUGAUCAGCCACAUUGGGACUGAGACACGGCCCAAACUCCUACGGGAGGCAGCAGUGGGGAAUAUUGGACAAUGGGCGCAAGCCUGAUCCAGCCAUGCCGCGUGAGUGAUGAAGGCCUUAGGGUUGUAAAGCUCUUUCAGCGGGGACGAUAAUGACGGUACCCGCAGAAGAAGCCCCGGCUAACUUCGUGCCAGCAGCCGCGGUAAUACGAAGGGGGCUAGCGUUGUUCGGAAUCACUGGGCGUAAAGGGCGCGUAGGCGGCUUGAUAAGUCGGGGGUGAAAGCCUGUGGCUCAACCACAGAAUUGCCUUCGAUACUGUCUGGCUUGAGACCGGAAGAGGUAAGUGGAACUGCGAGUGUAGAGGUGAAAUUCGUAGAUAUUCGCAAGAACACCAGUGGCGAAGGCGGCUUACUGGUCCGGUUCUGNNGCUGANNNNCGAAAGCGUGGGGAGCAAACAGGAUUAGAUACCCUAGUAGUCC
rnacentral:rRNA from 1 species